rnacentral:misc_RNA from 1 species
GAUGAAGAACGCAGCGAAAUGCGAUAAGUAAUGUGAAUUGCAGAAUUCAGUGAAUCAUCGAAUCUUUGAACGCACAUUGCGCCCGUCAGUAUUCUGGCGGGCAUGCCUGUUCGAGCGUCAUUACGCCCCUCAAGUCCCCUGUGGACUUGGUGUUGGGGAUCGGCGAGGCUGGUUUUCCAGCACAGCCGUCCCUUAAAUUAAUUGGCGGUCUCGCCGUGGCCCUCCUCUGCGCAGUAGUAAAACACUCGCAACAGGAGCCCGGCGCGGUCCACUGCCGUAAAACCCCCCAACUUUUUAUAGUUGACCUCGAAUCAGGUAGGACUAACCGCUGAACUUAAGCAUAUCAAUAAGCGGAGGA